rnacentral:rRNA from 1 species
GACGAACGCUGGCGGCGUGCUUAACACAUGCAAGUCGAGCGGAAAGGCCACUUCGGUGGUACUCGAGCGGCGAACGGGUGAGUAACACGUGCGUAAUCUGCCCCUGGCUUUGGGAUAGCCACCGGAAACGGUGAUUAAUACCGGAUACGACCACUUCUCGAAUGGGAUGGUGGUGGAAAGUUUUUUCGGCCAGGGAUGUGCUCGCGGCCUAUCAGCUUGAUGGUGAGGUAAUGGCUCACCAUGGCUUCGACGGGUAGCCGGCCUGAGAGGGUGACCGGUCACACUGGGACUGAGACACGGCCCAGACUCCUACGGGAGGCAGCAGUGGGGAAUAUUGGACAAUGGGCGGAAGCCUGAUCCAGCAACGCCGCGUGAGGGAUGACGGCCUUCGGGUUGUAAACCUCUUUCAGCAGGGACGAAGCGCAAGUGACGGUACCUGCAGAAGAAGCACCGGCCAAAUAAGUGCCAGCCGCCGCCGUAAGAC